GCUUCAGUUCCCCGCCUGCUCCACCCUGGUGGGCUUCAGCUCCACCUGCUCCGCUGUGGUGGGCUUCAGAUCUGCCUGUUCCGCCCUGGUGGGCUUACACUCAACCCUGGUCCCAUGAUCUACCUCAGGAUCCAGGUCCUCUUCCCCUACAUGGGCCUGGCCCGCCGUCCUUCCCCCCUAGUCUGCCUCCAUUCCGCCUCCCUCCUGGAUUCCUUUGACAUUUGGUGGAGCAUCUGGAAUCUGCUUCUUAAGGGAGGGGUUAUGUCACAGUUUGCCAAUGGAGUGCCCAAGACGGCCACCAGAGGGCACUCUUGUGGUUUGUGUGUCUGCAGUCCUGUCUUGAUCAGUUGUUAUAUGCCAGAAGUACUUGUUGUAUGUGCCUUCUGCUCUACUCUGCUUUGCUGUGCCUUGUUCCUGGCCUGCCUACCUUCCUGCCUGCCUGUUCCUAAAACCCCCUAUAUAAAAAAAAAAAUACCUAUUCUUCUACUGCAUUUGAGUCCUCACCUCAUCUCUUUUUUGGUACCGUG